rnacentral:lncRNA from 1 species
CGGACGCGUGCGCACUGGGGUAGUUAACCCGUAGGCGGAGUGACUAGCCGCUGCUGUUUGGUCCUAGGUCGGCACUGCGGGUCCGUCCCGGGUCAUUAGUCUGGCCAAGCACGUGGUUGGCGAGUACCGGGUACGCAAGGCUAAAACACGAGAAGGACAGAACCCCUCCCCGGCAAGCUAGUCUUAGGCAUUGAGGCAAGUAAAAGUAGCAUUGGACGUAUAUUGAGGCUUGAGCAAAACGGGUUAACAAGUAACACUGGUGAUGGUAAGGGAAAGCUAACAUAAAAAGUUCUAAGGCGCCACGCGCCACUUGCAGGAAAAUAAAAAAAAUGAAGGAAACUAUGCGGGAGGUGCUCCUGGGGCGGUUGUGUCGGUGUCAGGUGCAUCCUCGGCAUCGGGGGCUUCUCCGGCAACCUCCUCAGCAGCAGCUUCGUCUUCGACAUCCGCGC